rnacentral:rRNA from 1 species
UACAGAGGGGGCAAGCGUUAUUCGGAAUUAUUGGGCGUAAAGGGCGCGUAGGCGGCUUACCAAGUCAGGCGUGAAAUUCCCGGGCUCAACCUGGGGGCUGCGCUUGAUACUGGUGAGCUUGAAUGCGGGAGAGGAUAGUGGAAUUCCCAGUGUAGAGGUGAAAUUCGUAGAUAUCUGGAGGAACACCCGUGGUGCAGACGGCUUGCUGGACCGUGACUGACGCUGAGACACGAAAGCGUGGGUAGCAAACAGG